CUGAGGUCUAUGACAAUAGACCUCAGUAAGGGAGAGAAAUAGGCCUCAAUUGCCCUCUCACUAUGCUUUUUGAGACAGAUAAUUCUCAAUCCAAUUUUUGCUCAAUGAACCACCACUGUGUUUAAAUUCUUUCAACACUCUGAGGGAAGCGAAUUCCCACUUUCCCUCUUCCUUUUGCUCCUCUUCACUAUAAAUCAGAUACUUUUCUUUCAAGGACAGAUUCUCUAUUUUAGUGCUUCCAUUUCUUAUCCUAAGUUGCUUUUAGGAAGUUGUAACCAUUUUUAUGAACUAUUCCCUUAAUUAUCAUGUUCCGUGUAUGAAUUUCCAUGUAGGAAACAAGUGUGCCAAGUGCUUACACUUGUUUCAUAUAAUCCCCACAGUGAAAGAAAGCAGAGGCUCACAGAACCCAAGUCACUGGCCAGAGUCACUGUGCUAGUGGGGGAAUCUGAAUCCAGGCUUACUUCCAAAGCUAUUAUCCUUUCCCCAUUCUGCACUGACAAGAGGCACCCAUCUCCCUCAAACUUUGAGCCCCGGCUUCCCACCUCCUCUGCAGAAGUAGAUGGUGGUGGAGUGGGCACUUCUUUUUUUUUUCCUC
rnacentral:lncRNA from 1 species